GUGUUAUUCAUGUUUAACAGGUUUAAAGGGUACCUAGACGGUUAAUUAAACACUGUAAUGUAUUAAUUAACUAGAGUUUGAUAUAAGAAGGAUUGAGUACGGUGAGUGUAGAGAUAAAAUUCUAUUAGACCACUAUGGAACUGGUAAAGGCGAAGGCAACCUUCUAUGUAAAAACUGACGUUAAGGGACGAAGGCUCGUUAUAAAAAACAGGAUUAGAUACCCUGGUAUUUUGGGCAGACAAUGAUGAGUGUCAUAUGCAAGAUAAAAUUUUGUGUAUAAAUGAAAGUGUAAGCAUUCCACCUCAAGAGUAACAUGGCAACAUGGGAACUGAAAUCAUUAGACCGUUUCUGAAACUCGUAGUGAAGUAUGUUGUUUAAUUUGAUGAUCCACAAAUAACCUUACCACAACUUGAAUUACUUUAGUUUACUGAAGUAACAAGCGUUGCACGGCUGUCUCCAGUCAAUGUUGUGAAACUGUGGUUAGAUCCAUUGAAUUGACGUAAACCCUCACUCCACUUAUUGUGGAGUGGUUCGCCGCUAUAUUGGUAGUGAUAUAUGGGACUAAGACAAGUCAUC
rnacentral:rRNA from 1 species